AUUGAACGCUGGCGGCAGGCUUAACACAUGCAAGUCGAACGAGUGGCGGACGGGUGAGUAAUGUCUGGGAAACUGCCUGAUGGAGGGGGAUAACUACUGGAAACGGUAGCUAAUACCGCAUACCAUCGGAUGUGCCCAGAUUGGAUUAGCUAGUAGGUGGGGUAAAGGCUCACCUAGCCGACGAUCCCUAGCUGGUCUGAGAGGAUGACCAGCCACACUGGGACUGAGACACGGUCCAGACUCCUACGGGAGGCAGCAGUGGGGAAUAUUGCACAAGGGGGGCAAGCCUGACGCAGCCAUGCCGCGUGUAUGAAUAAGGCCUUCGGGUUGUAAAGUUCUUUCAGGGGGGAGGCGUUAACCGCAGAAGAAGCACCGGCUAACUCCGUGCCAGCAGCCGCGGUAAUAC
rnacentral:rRNA from 1 species